GUGGAACUUACACAUGAGUCUUUUAGCUAACUGAAGGUUUUCUCUGAAUAGACUGUUGCUGUACUGCCACGUUUUUGUCUGUUACCAUACCAGAGUAAACUGUGUAACGGUAUGUGGCCACCUGGAGCUAAAGAGUUCAAGAGUGACAUUAAGAGGUUGAAUGGGUAAAUGGGAUAGUUUAAUAGAUUUGACAACUAUAUUACAUGUAUAUAAUUCCUUAGUGAGGUUUACUUAUUUGAAAGUAAAGAAGUCUGGGCUGUUAUAUUACAAAGUACUUUUGGCACGUCUGAUGUCUCACAGCUCUCAUUUGUAUGCUCCCUCCACUCUACUAGAUUAAUAGAACAUAGCAUCAAUCACUAAACCACUUUGGAUGGACUUCGUCACUAUUCUGCUAGAUACCUAUUGCAAAUUCUUCUUGCAAUGGUUCUUUGAACUUUGUGAAACAGCAAGACACUCUGUACUGACCUAUUUUUUCUACCACAAAGGCAACAGAGCUUCUCUAACAAUCAUUCAUGUGUCAUUUUGAGUGC